rnacentral:rRNA from 1 species
AGCGAACGCUGGCGGCAGGCCUAACACAUGCAAGUCGAACGGGCUCUUCGGAGCUAGUGGCGGACGGGUGAGUAACACGUGGGAACGUGCCUUUAGGUUCGGAAUAAGCCCGGGAAACUGGGUCUAAUACCGAAUGUGCCCUUCGGGGGAAAGAUUUAUCGCCUUUAGAGCGGCCCGCGUCUGAUUGGCUAGUUGGUGAGGUAAUGGCUCACCAAGGCGACGAUCAGUAGCUGGUCUGAGAGGAUGACCAGCCACAUUGGGACUGAGACACGGCCCAAACUCCUACGGGAGGCAGCAGUGGGGAAUCUUGCGCAAUGGGCGAAAGCCUGACGCAGCCAUGCCGCGUGAAUGAUGAAGGUCUUAGGAUUGUAAAAUUCUUUCACCGGGGACGAUAAUGACGGUACCCGGAGAAGAAGCCCCGGCUAACUUCGUGCCAGCAGCCGCAGUAA